rnacentral:rRNA from 1 species
CCUCUGGUAUGUACUGGUCUCACUGAUUCUCUUCCUGAUGAACCGUAAUGCCAUUAAUUUGGUGUUGCGGGGAAUUUGGACUGUUACUUUGAAAAAAUUUAGAGUGUUUAAAGCAAGCUAACGCUUGAAUACAUUAGCAUGGAAUAAUGAAUAGGACGUUCGAUCCUAUUUUGUUGGUUUCUAGGAUUGACGUAAUGAUUAAUAGGGAUAGUUGGGGGCAUUAGUAUUCAAUUGUCAGAGGUGAAAUUCUUGGAUUUAUUGAAGACUAACUACUGCGAAAAGCAUUUGCCAAGGAUGUUUUCAUUAAUCAAGAACGAAAGUUAGGGGAUCGAAGACGAUCAGAUACCGUCGUAGUCUUAACCAUAAACUAUGCCGACUAGGGAUCGGAUGAUGUUAAUUUUUAAUGACUCAUUCGGCGCCUUACG